UACGUAGGUGGCAAGCGUUGUCCGGACUGACUGGGCGUAAAGCGUCCGCAGGUGGUCGUGCAAGUGCGCUGUGAAAGCGGCCCGCUCAACGGGCCGAGGCCAGCGCAGACUGCGCGACUCGAGGUCGGGAGAGGUCGGGUGGAAUUGCCGGUGUGAGUGGUGAAAUGCGUAGAGAUCGGCAGGAACACCCAAGGGGAACGCC
rnacentral:rRNA from 1 species